rnacentral:lncRNA from 1 species
AUUUCUAAAAAAAUUUCUUUUACUUGGCAACCUGCCCACCACUCAGCCACCAUCCACGUUGACCAAUCUGACCUGAAAUGUUAAAAUUGAAGGAAUGAGUAUUACUCAGUAGGAUACGUGCGUCCAAACAAUAUAAUAACUUUUAAAACAUGAAUUUACAACAUUCCAUACCAUCAUUCCAUCAAGAGCAAUCGGUGAUCAAUCGAAUACUCUAACAUAUUUGAGAUGACUCGAAGGAGAUCUCACAUUUCAUUUCAUAAGGACCUGCAGGUCAAUUAGCAUUUCAUGAAAUAAAUCACAUAAAAAAAAUUAUAAUAUUGCAAGGAUGAAUCACUUGCACAUAGUAUCCUACCUCGUUUCAAUUUCUAGACUUUUGCGGCUUCCUUGAACGUAGUUAAAAUGGAGAAUGGCUUUCUGCUUUUAAAAUA